UUUUGCUAAGUGAAGAGAGGCAUGAAAGAGAAGUCGUGUUUGAGAAAGAGCAAUAUGUAUGUUAGUACUUGGGGUACAAUUAACAGUGCAGGCCAAUGGAUGAUGAGGGCCUAACCUAAAGCUGAAGCCAUGAAGACAGAGAGAAGGAGAGAGAUAUUUAGGACCUAGAAUUCAUAGGACUUGGUGAUCAAUUAAAUAUGGAAAAUGGAGGAUGGACUUCUUCCUCUCUCCCUACACUAUCCCUUGGAGAAAACCUUUUAUCAAGAAGAUACCAAAUAUCAUCACUGAUAUAAUGUCAGAGGAGGCCACUCUCUAUAGCCCAACCUCCAGGAUUUCAGCACUUCGUGGACAUGGAGGCUGGUGAAAUAGAGGAGAUGACAUGAAUGAGGGACUACAUUGGAAUGAAGAAGAACCUGGAGGAGGUAAAAAAACUGAAGGCUCCGGAUGUCGGACGAUGGAAAAUAAAAACAACAAGCAAGUGAAACUCCCUGACUUAUCAACCUUACUCAAGAACUAUGCUCCUGUUUAGGUAUGCAGACCUGACUUCUUGACUGCAGAUCCCCCAAAACCAGAAUUGGGUGCUCUGAACAUGCUCAAGAGAAAGUCAAAUUUGAAACCCAUUGUGUUAAAACCUGUUGUAAGGAAAAAAAAAAAAAAAACUACAAAGAACUGUAUUUUGUCAUCGUAAUUACAGAGAUGUAGAAAAACGUGUUUUCUACAAGAUGCAAAAAUAUGUGAGACCUCUUUAUAACACAUGGUAUGUUAAGAAACAGCUGUUCAGCUACGACAUUAAAAUGCUGGU
rnacentral:lncRNA from 1 species